rnacentral:rRNA from 1 species
AAUCAACGCUGGCGGCGUGCCUCAGACAUGCAAGUCGAACGAUUAAAGCUCUCUUCGGAGAGUGCAUAGAGUGGCGCACGGGUGAGUAACACGUAAGUAACCUACCUUCGAGUGGGGAAUAACGUCCGGAAACGGACGCUAAUACCGCAUAAUGCAGCGGCAUCGCAAGAUGACAGUUGUUAAAGAUUUAUCGCUUGAAGAGGAGCGUGCGGCAGAUUAGCUAGUUGGUAAGGUAAUGGCUUACCAAGGCUACAAUCUGUAACCGGUCUUAGAGGACGGUCGGUCACACUGACACUGAAUAACGGGUCAGACUCCUAUGGGAGGCAGCAGUCGGGAAUUUUGGGCAAUGGGCGAAAGCCUGACCCAGCAACGCCGCGUGAAGGAUGAAGUAUUUCGGUAUGUAAACUUCGAAAGAAUGGGAAGAAUAAAUGACGGUACCAUUUAUAAGGUCCGGCUAACUACGUGCCAGCAGCCGCCGCAGUAA